rfam:Leptolyngbya valderiana BDT 20041 contig00254, whole genome shotgun sequence.
GGGGCGGUAGCUCAGUUGGUAGAGCGCAUCGUUCGCAAUGAUGAGGUCGAGAGUUCGAAUCUCUUCCGCUCCA